rnacentral:rRNA from 1 species
UACAGAGGUCCCAAGCGUUGUUCGGAUUCACUGGGCGUAAAGGGUGCGCAGGUGGUGAGGUAAGUCGGAUGUGAAAGCUCGGAGCUCAACUCCGAAAUGGCAUUGGAAACUACCUUGCUCGAGGGUUGGAGGGGGGACUGGAAUACUUGGUGUAGCAGUGAAAUGCGUAGAUAUCAAGUGGAACACCAGUGGCGAAGGCGAGUCCCUGGACAACUCCUGACACUGAGGCACGAAAGCUAGGGGAGCAAACAGG